GGUGAGAUGGCCGAGCGGUCUAAGGCGCCACGUUUAGGCCGUGGUCUAUUAUAGGCGUGGGUUCGAAUCCCACUCUCAUCA